CUACUUUCUCUCUCUCUCUCACUCCAUACGGGCUGCUGAGUUAACUCUUCUCAUUUGAUAUUAACUCAUUUCUCUCUCUCCAAAACCAAACGAAGCCCUAAUGGAAGAAGAAAGGCAAAUCCCAGCGGAGAUUAUAAACUAAACCAAUUAAAGAACUGAAGUCUAGGAUUUUGAGCUCAAGCUGGGGACUAGAAAUUCAACGUUGACUUCGAUCUUAAGCCCAAGAUCUUAUGCAAGCAUUUCUGAGGGUCGCAAAAGAUCUUAAUGCUAUUGUGAUUGCAACCAGAGAGAGUCAAGAGAGUAGUGAGGCAUACAAUGUAUUCAUUCGCCAACAAUGAAAUCAAAGACAGAGGGAUUGGAGAAAUCGAGUCAAAGCUGGACGAAUUGAUUCUAUGAAAAGGGUAACUGACAUAGUAUUAUCCGAAAAUACUAAUUUCAGUUCUGCCCAUGUGAAUGAAGCUAUAAUAUGUCAUGAUUUCGAGGCUUCUACUUCAAACCAAGAAACGACAGAUGUUUCUAAAUGUGUAAAACUUGUGAACAUACCAAAUACUGUAUAUGUAUUACCAACAUGUACCUCUUGUAAAUAUUGUGGUGCACGAAAAUUUUAUAGAGAAAGUAAAGGUUUUUGUUGCUUAGAUGGAAAA